UGAUUCAGAUGAUCCUCAACAAUGGUGUGUGUUGGGUUAACAAGGACAGGACCUGGAGAAGACUGAACACUGUCAGGCAUUUGUGAGGAGUCUCUCUGCAUGGCUGCUCUAAAGGCCAUUGAAGUUAUUGGAAGUAGGAAGUAUCCUCAUCUCUGCAAGUUUCUACAGUCAUGUUGACCUGGAAGCACAGAUAAGGUAUUGAUGAGGAACCUAUCUGCACAGCAGCACCAAAGGGAUAUUGAGUUUGUUAGAAAGAAGGAGUAUCCACAUCUUUCCAUGUUUCCAAAUUCGUGUUGGCCUGGACUCACAGAAAAGGCCAGAGAUGGUGUACUGACAUGUUAGCAGGAAAGGGGCUCACCCAGAGAGUUCACUAAAG